rnacentral:rRNA from 1 species
UACGUAGGGGGCAAGCGUUGUCCGGAAUUAUUGGGCGUAAAGAGCUCGUAGGCGGCCUGUUGCGUCUGCUGUGAAAUCCCGGGGCUUAACCCCGGGCGUGCAGUGGAUACGGGCAGGCUGGAGGCAGGCAGGGGAGAAUGGAAUUCCCGGUGUAGCGGUGAAAUGCGCAGAUAUCGGGAGGAACACCGGUGGCGAAGGCGGUUCUCUGGGCCUGUUCUGACGCUGAGGAGCGAAAGCGUGGGGAGCGAACAGG